GCCUGAUGCAGCCAUGCCGCGUGUAUGAAGAAGGCCUUCGGGUUGUAAAGCACUUUCAGCGGGGAGGAAGGCGAUACGGUUAAUAACCGUGUUGAUUGACGUUACCCGCAGAAGAAGCACCGGCUAACUCCGUGCCAGCAGCCGCGGUAAU
rnacentral:rRNA from 1 species